rnacentral:rRNA from 1 species
GAGUUUGAUCCUGGCUCAGAACGAACGCUGGCGGCAUGCCUAACACAUGCAAGUCGAACGAUCCUUUCGGGGAUAGUGGCGCACGGGUGCGUAACGCGUGGGAAUCUGCCCUUGGGUUCGGAAUAACAGUUAGAAAUGACUGCUAAUACCGGAUGAUGUCUUCGGACCAAAGAUUUAUCGCCCAAGGAUGAGCCCGCGUAAGAUUAGGUAGUUGGUGGGGUAAAGGCCUACCAAGCCGACGAUCUUUAGCUGGUCUGAGAGGAUGAUCAGCCACACUGGGACUGAGACACGGCCCAGACUCCUACGGGAGGCAGCAGUGGGGAAUAUUGGACAAUGGGCGAAAGCCUGAUCCAGCAAUGCCGCGUGAGUGAUGAAGGCCUUAGGGUCGUAAAGCUCUUUUACCCGGGAUGAUAAUGACAGUACCGGGAGAAUAAGCCCCGGCUAACUCCGUGCCAGCAGCCGCGGUAAUACGGAGGGGGCUAGCGUUGUUCGGAAUUACUGGGCGUAAAGCGCACGUAGGCGGUUAUUCAAGUCAGAGGUGAAAGCCCGGGGCUCAACCCCGGAACUG